rnacentral:lncRNA from 1 species
CAAGUCAGCCUGCUUCUUCUCCAUUUUACCUUGGAUCUAGGAGAGAACUUAAUUCUCCUAGAAAAGAAGCCUGCAACCUGGUUGGAAUAGAGAAAUAGAGAAAUGUAACCUUGGAGCAGAGUGCCACUGUGAGAAAUGGGGUGUUUUAAUCUAAAUGGUCCCAACAACAGACUCUGACAGGAAAGGGAGUAUCUCUGCUCUCUUGGAAAGACCUCAUUUUCUAAGGCUCAGCUAAAUGGCUGCAGAACUCCUUUUGGCAAAGGCAUCUCACUGCUCGCCUGUCAGAAAUAUUGAGCUGUUUGCCCUGGUGUGGCUGAGUGCAGUCAUGCUCUCCAAGCUUUUUUGUGCUCCCACAAUUUCCUAAUCUCUUCCCUGAGGGGGGAUAAAAGGAAAUGGAGAAGGAGUGGCAGUUAAGGGUGGUUCAUGUCUUUUAGUUGUCUUCAGAAUUGAGCAGAUUCUUAGCUCAGCUGCAGUGACCUUUGCAGAGUUGGACUGUGGACAGUCUGAUGUCAUUCAAUUCUUCUUUUUCUAUACUGAUCCAACUCGAAAAUCAUACAGUUUAGAAAUAGCCUAUUGACUUGUUCUGGGUCAUUUUAGGGGAAAUGGUAAGAGCAUGGACUUCAAAGUCAGAUAUACGUGGACUCAAAUUUCAGCUUUGGCUACUUAAUUGCUGUGUGAUAUAAGUAAAUUACUUAGGCUUUCCAAUACUGCUUUCUCAUCUGUAAAGUGAGAAUAAAGAGUGGUUUUUGUCUCAUUGACAUGAGAUGAAGACUAAAGGAGAUGACACAUGUGGGACAGUUCACAUGACAUCUGGCACACAGCAAGUUCUUAAUAAAUGGUAACUUCUGUGGAGUUCUGUAGGUAGCCCCCAGACUCAUCAUGUAGCAGGUGCUCCUGGAAAGAGAACAAGAGGUUAACAGAAGGCAAAAGAAUGGGGAAAUGUGCAUGGUAAUGACUGGACUGAACCUGCUAGAUCAGGGGUUCAGACCUCAUUUGACUGGGAAAGAGAAUCUGCCUCCUAUGUUAUAUGCUCCACUGGGACUCACUCAUUGUGAGCCAAACAUCCUCCCUUAUCUCACUGAAUAUCAGCAGGCCAUGCCCCUAAAGCAGUGGUAUGUUCAGGUUUGUUGGAGGUGAAAGGGGGAAAAUAAAAAGACUUGGGUAAUAAUUCUGCAUAGCAUCCAUAGCAUGUAUGUGUUUAUUGCAGAGCAACAUACAUUUCCAGCAUCGCUUACCCCUGAAGUGAAGGUGAUUGUGUACUUUCUUUAGGUACGCUUAACUUGUUUCAGAUUGAGAAUAGCACUUGGUGUCCUGAGCCACCUAGUUGGAGGACUCACUUCCUGUUCCAUAGCAGGUAUAUUAUUUAGGCUCUGGGACAUUCUUCUGUGGGAAAAAGAAACCUCCUUCAAAUAUCUUAAUGUAUUUUAUCUGAAUAGUUACUAAGAGUCUCCUGAUUGUUAAAUACUUGCCAUAUCUUCUCUCAGCUGGUUUGAGAUAGAGUGGCUUUCUUGAAUGUGAUAUCAGUUUAAUCCCAUGAAAAAUCUGUUUCUAAAGACAAAAAUUUUGUAAGUUCAAGUACCUACUGUGAUCAUUAAGAAUAUAAAAUACAACCUGAAGGCACCCUCCUGGGUUUAUCUCAGGUGCCAGAGAAGCAGGACUUUAAAGGCAGGGAGUUUAGUGAUAUUCUAGACUCAGGUCUUCCCUGUGUGGCUUACUCAACCCACAACCUCUUCCAUUGUCAGCAUCUGGGACUGACGAGACCCACGCACUUAGCACCUCCACAUUCACCAAGGCUCCAUGUUAACUUUUCCCUCUAAAGAAUUGUCCCCAUUUUGCUGCUGGUUCUGCUGUUACUGAGGAGGCUGGUUUGCAGGAGGCUGGUGGUUGAGCUCAGGUCUUAAAUACUAUUUCUCCUUUGAGCCAUUCUGCUAGCCGCCACCCUUCAUACAGUGAACUCAUGGAGAACAGUCAGGCAUGCCGUCAGCAGACCUAGGGUGCCUCGCCCCUUCUAGUCAUCUUCUCCUCAUGUUCUCUGUGUAGUGCACACACAUACACAAACCCCUGCCCUGCGCUUUCUCAUUACUCCUGCCACUAGGGACCUCGUGAUUAUUAGUCCCAGAGGCCUUUCCAACAGGUUUUCUCUUCUUUGGUUUUAGACAGUAUUGACCAGUUUUUCAAAAAAUUUCUCUACACUGGUUCCCCCUUGACAUUCCUUCUCUGGUUAACCCUCUAUAUUUAUGAUAAUUUAUCAGCCCUUUUCAUAACUCUCUGCCCACUGAAACUCUCAUGUCCCCAGCAGUUGGUCAGCAGUGGCCUCUCAGGCAGUGCUAUCUGAGAGGGGAGGCUGUCCAGUUGAUAGCUGCAGUUCUCUCCAUCCAGACUUCCCUAUGCUGAUGGACAUGGUGAUGCUCAGCUCCUUCCCAAGGACAUACUUGGGUCUCACCCUGUGUCCCAAACCCUGUCUUUGAUGCCUCUCGUCUUAAUCCCAGCACAUUCACUGAUGGGGAGAGAUACUUCUGCCUAAGCCACAAGCCUGAGACUUACCCAUAAUCUUUUCUCAGAACUUUGCACUUAAAGAUGCACUUAUCCUACUUGAGUUGGAUGGUGGUAGAUUUAUUCAGGAACACAGUGAUUGAGUCCUGGUUUAGCAUUUGAAGAAUAAAGAGCUGGGCACAGUGUUGCACUCCUGUAAUCCCAGCAGCUCAGGAGGCUAAGGUAGGAGGAUCACAAGUUCAAAGCUAGUGAGACCCUGUCUUAAUAAAAAGAGACUAAGGAUGAUGUGGCUCAGUGGUUAAGUACCCCUGGGUCCAAUCCCUGGUACAAUAAAUAAAUAAAAAAGUAAGUAAGUAAGUAAAUAAAUAAAAAACAGCUUAAAGGCUAAAGAAGCAUCAAAAGAACAAAUAAGGGCUGGGGUUGUAGCUCAGUGGUGGAGCACUUUGUCUUGCAUGUGUGAGGUACUGGGUUUGAGCCUCAGCACCACAUUAAAAUAAAUAAAGAUAUUGUGUCCAUGUAUAACUAAAAAAUAUUUUAAAAAAGAACAAAUGAAGAACUGUUUGUUCACAGAGAAUGGGCAAUUAAAGACUAUAAAGAUACUAAAGCUUCCCAAACUGAGUGUAGAUUCAAUACUGUUUCCAAUAGAAAAUCAAACAAAGGUUAUGUUAAACAUAAGCAAAUAUUUAAACUUAUGUAGAAUAGCAAAGGGGUAAGAGGGCCGGAUGCUUCUGAAGAUGAAGAGGGUUAGGGGAUUUGUUUUACAGUACAUCAAGUUUUAUCAUAGAGUGUCAUGUGGUGCAGAGGUGACUUUCUGAGCAGUGGAAUGAGAGCCUAGAAACCAGUCCAUGGAUAUGUUGUGUUGGCCUUGGUGGCCCAGCAGGAAUGGUGUGGCCAACGAGUGAGGAUAGGAGGGCCAGCUUAAGAAGUACAGUGCUAGAGUGUGGCUGUCCAUCUGGGAAAGAAGGAGAGUUAGUGCUGCUUCCCCUCUUGCCCAACAGCCGAUUCCAGAUGUGCAAAGUGCAGUCAGCAGCAGUUUUAAACUUCACAUGAAAACCUCCAUAAGGCAGGAACAAAUCUCUUGAGGCACAGGCAGUAACCCUAAAAGAUGAUUAAAUCAAUUCAACCAAACCAAGGGCUAUAUUAAGCAAAUAAGUGAAGAAACAGACCAGAACUUGAGAAAGACGUAUUCACAAUACAAAUAACUGACAAAAGAUUAGUUAUAUAGUUUGUAUUUUGAAAAAAUAGAAGAAACUUAAAAAGGCAUUUCGCAUGGAGCUUAUAAAUGAAUAGGAAGAUGUCCCUAGCAUUACUGAUUCCCCAAGUAUGAAUUAAGACCACAGUCUUAAUUCCAUUGUAUAUCCUUAAGAUUUGCAAAAAUCGGGCCUGAUCAUAGGAGGGGUUAGAGAAGAUCUGUGAAACGCACACGUUGUGCAAGUCACCAUUCCUGUAGAAAACAGUUACACUUGCUGACGUGAAUGUUUGCAGAUCUUGUGAUCUAGCUUUUACCUCGCAGUCAUGUUCAACAAUGUCUUGCCCUUUAGUAUAUGCAGGAAUGUGCAAGAAUGUUCAUAGUAACGUGUAAUAGUUUGUAACUAAAAAAAGUGAAACAUCUGUAGAGGAUAGCAUAAAUUAUGUAUAUUUACUCUAAGUGAUACUAUCUGUAAUGAAAGUGAAUGAUCUGUAGUUAUACCUGGUAAUAAGAAUGAAUCUCAAAAUGUUAAUGGAAAAAACAAUUUCCAUGACACUACUUAUAGUAAGAUACAAUUAUCAUAGAGCUCAAAAAUAAGCAAAACCAAAGAAUAUAUUGUAUGAGCAUGCAUACAAAACUGUACUAUUAAAAAAGGUAACAGUGAUAAACCAAAAUUUAGCUCAGGAGGAUCAAUAAAUGGAGACUGUCUGUCUUCUGUGAUGUAAAUCCACAGAGUGACCUGCCAGGUAUGGGCAGCAGCUGAGCAAGGAACUUUUGAAUUUCUGUAGUUCCAUUUGUUCUUUUACCCAGAGAGCAACUCAGUAAAGAAAAGCAACAUUGCAUUUCAGUUAGAAACACUGGCAGGUUAAGGUCAAAUGAAUAACAUUCUAGUCCUUGGGUGGGAGGGCCUGGGUGUGUGCUACAUACAGUUUCGCUUUAUAACUGUCAGUUCUGUACAUCUGAAAUAUGCUAUAUUGAAAAGAUGCAGUAAGUAUAUUGUAAAAAAUAAAAGCAAAGUGAAACAAGAUUCCUAAGUCUGGUGUGUUUGUAUG